UACGGAAGGCAGCAGUGGGGAAUAUUGCACAAUGGGCGCAAGCCUGAUGCAGCCAUGCCGCGUGUAUGAAGAAGGCCUUCGGGUUGUAAAGUACUUUCAGUCGUGAGGAAGGUGUUAAGGUUAAUAACCUUAGCAAUUGACGUUAGCGACAGAAGAAGCACCGGCUAACUCCGUGCCAGCAGCCGCGGUAAUACGGAGGGUGCGAGCGUUAAUCGGAUUUACUGGGCGUAAAGCGUGCGUAGGCGGCUUUUUUAAGUCGGAUGUGAAAUCCCCGAGCUUAACUUGGGAAUUGCAUUCGAUACUGGGAAGCUAGAGUAUGGGAGAGGAUGGUAGAAUUCCAGGUGUAGCGGUGAAAUGCGUAGAGAUCUGGAGGAAUACCGAUGGCGAAGGCAGCCAUCUGGCCUAUACUGACGCUGAGGUCGAAAGCAUGGGGAGCAAACAGGAUUAAGAUACC
rnacentral:rRNA from 1 species